GGCGCUCACAGCGAGGUUACCCUUUGUGUAUUCGGUUUAUUGACGUGGAAUAUACAAGGGCAAGCUCUCUGUGAGCAUC
rnacentral:pre_miRNA from 15 species